rnacentral:rRNA from 1 species
AACGAACGCUGGCGGCAUGCCUAACACAUGCAAGUCGAACGAGACCUUCGGGUCUAGUGGCGCACGGGUGCGUAACGCGUGGGAACCUGCCCUUAGGUUCGGAAUAACUCCCCGAAAGGGGUGCUAAUACCGGAUAAUGUCUUCGGACCAAAGAUUUAUCGCCUUUGGAUGGGCCCGCGUUGGAUUAGCUAGUUGGUAGGGUAAAAGCCUACCAAGGCGACGAUCCAUAGCUGGUCUGAGAGGAUGAUCAGCCACACUGGGACUGAGACACGGCCCAGACUCCUACGGGAGGCAGCAGUGGGGAAUAUUGGACAAUGGGCGAAAGCCUGAUCUAGCAAUGCCGCGUGAGUGAUGAAGGCCUUAGGGUUGUAAAGCUCUUUUACCCGGGAUGAUAAUGACAGUACCGGGAGAAUAAGCGCCGGCUAACUCCGUG